rnacentral:misc_RNA from 1 species
AAGUCGUAACAAGGUUUCCGUAGGUGAACCUGCGGAAGGAUCAUUAACACGUAUCCAACGUUAAACCCCCCGCAAUCCCUGGUAAAUCAUUGCCGAACAGUUUUGAUUCAGGGACUUCUGCGUAGACUGUGCUUGAGCGUGAGGCAAGUGGCCUGGCAUUCCUCUGCUUGUUGGUGUCUGAAAGUGUCACCAGCUCUGUACGAAUGGCGCAGUCACGAUCGCUAGAGGCCGACACGGCCGGCGACCGGGUCACUGGGCGCGAGCCCCCCUCGUCACCUUUGCAUGAAAACGGGCCUGCGCUUAAUUGUGCGGCCACCAAACUCGAACAACUGUUAACAAUGGAUAUCUUGGUUCUC